GAAACCGAUAAGGUGGAAACGGAUAGAGCUGACGUAUCUAGCUUGUAUUCAGCUGCUGUUUUGCGCAGGCCGAUUUGGCCGAUCCUGCUUUUGGUUGGUCGAUUCGCGCUGUGCGUGAUCCAGUAGUGCAUUUGCAAGUGGAGUGCGCCGAGAGAUACACUGCAGCGGUGGAAUGCCCGCUUUGAGGACCCUCUUCGGAGGGAAACCCGAACGGGCGGAAAACUGUUUGCGGUGUGCGCUAGCAGGAGUAUGGACUUAACACGAGUCGGUUGGCCGGUGAGUCUACGACGGGCAGCGGUCGCAUGCGAACGUUUCCGCUGUGGGCUUGCUUGCUGGCUUGGCUCUCAUACUCGAUCUCGGUGUAAAAGUCGGUCAUCUAUCCGACCCGUCUUGAAACACGGACCAAGGAGUUUAACAAAUAUGCGAGUCAUUGAGUGUUGAAAACUCAAAGGCGAAAUGAAAGUAAAGGCACCUUUAAUGGGCUGAUAUGCGAUCUUGGGCGUUUCGGCGCACGAGCGCAGCAUAGCCCCAUCCCGAUUGCUUGCAAUGGGGUGGAGGUAGAGCAUAUUUGCUGAGACCCGAAAGAUGGUGAACUAUGCCUGAGCAGGACGAAGCCAGAGGAAACUCUGGUGGAAGUCCGAAGCGGUUCUGACGUGCAAAUCGAUCGUCUGA
rnacentral:rRNA from 1 species